rnacentral:rRNA from 1 species
GCGUGAGUGAAGAAGGCCUUUGGGUUGUAAAGCUCUUUCGUCGGGGAAGAAAAUGACUGUACCCGAAUAAGAAGGUCCGGCUAACUUCGUGCCAGCAGCCGCGGUAAUACGAAGGGACCUAGCGUAGUUCGGAAUUACUGGGCUUAAAGAGUUCGUAGGUGGUUAAAAAAGUUGGUGGUGAAAUCCCAGAGCUUAACUCUGGAACUGCCAUCAAAACUUUUUAGCUAGAGUAUGAUAGAGGGAAGUAGAAUUUCUAGUGUAGAGGUGAAAUUCGUAGAUAUUAGAAAGAAUACCGAUUGCGAAGGCAGCUUUCUGGAUCAUUACUGACACUGAGGAACGAAAGCAUGGGUAGCGAAGAGGAUUAGAUACCCUCGUAGUCCAUGCCGUAAACGAUGUGUGUUAGACGUUGGAAAUUUAUUUUCAGUGUCGCAGCGAAAGCAAUAAACACACCGCCUGGGGAGUACGACCGCAAGGUUAAAAC